GUCAACUACUCACCACUUAAACUGCAUUAGCAUUUUUGAAGUGGGAGCUUGUGUAAACAAGCUUGGUUGAAUAGCUUAAGUCUUAACUGACUACGUUAUACAAAAAUAGAUAGUUACCUUGGGAUGCUCCACAAGUUCCAAGCUCUAAG
rnacentral:sRNA from 20 species